ACUUAGGGAAAUUCCAUGAAAAGUCCAUACAGCAGUAAAUCUAGGGGGAUGAGAAAUCACUGGAGGAGAUGGACCAUAAAGCAAGGUUUUAAACAGACUGUACCGAAUGAUGUCAAACGGAUAAUCCUCACUAGGAUGAAGUGAAGUGCCAUACAAGAAAGCACUUGCACCGAAUACUCACGCAUGAUCUUGCGUGUCCAGCCGAACUUGUAGUAAACAAGGGGGAAGUAGAAGAGGAACCCACAGCACAUGAAGAUGACGCAGUAAAGAUAUUCCAGCUCGGGCUUGUCAAUGAUGGGAGCCAGGACCAAGUAGAAAGACACCAAGACCACAAUGCCCGGAAUUACUACGGGUACCUAUACGUGAGAGGACAAGAGCAUACAAUUCAGCAGUAGACCUCAGUGAAUUGUCUUUGUCAAUUCAGAAACUUUGGGAUUAACCUUACCUUGACAGGUCUCAUCAUUUCUUUCUUAGUAAAUCUCAUGACAAUGAGUGCCAAAGCUGUCAGUCCGUAGAAGAGCCACUGAGCAAAGCUGAAGUAGUUAAUAAGGGAAUUGAUGUCUGCUGGCAGGAUGUAAAUGAUCCCCAGAACCCCCUAUAUAAAAACACAAAGGUGAGACUGCACUUGAAACAAGCUUGAUUAAAGACCUCCUCCUGUGGAAUCUUUCGAUACCCACAAGCACAUCAAUAAGGGUUAACCUAAAAUAAAGCUUGUGCUAAAUAAUCAGUAGAAGAUGGAAGACUUGCAUUAAAAAUGAGGGCAGGUGAUGGUGUGCAGCGUUUCAGACUAAUAUAGGACAUGACCUUCACCAUGUGACCCUCCCGACCUGCAACAUAGGUCAGUCUGUGGAAUGAGAAAAAAAAAGACAAAUAAAAGUAAUUUUCCUACCAGGGACUUUCUUGGAUGAAUGAUAUAGCAAAAAUGGUUGAUAUAGUAUACACAUAAAAUAAUUUAGAAAUACAAAAAUAAUAAUACAUUGUUAAAUUCUGUAGGAUGUCAUAACAUGCACAAGAUUAUUUUAUGUGUUUUUCAUCCCAAUUUCUAAGUUAGUCCUCAGUUUGGAAUGCCCAAUAAUAAUUGUAAGCCUGCUUCAUCGCUGCAAAAUUCUCUAUCAAUUCAUGAUGGUACAUGCUGCAGUGCAAAUUCUCCAAAGCCUUUGCAGUCAGCCUGCACUGUAGGCAGUGUGACAAAGCACAGCCUAUGCAAAUUAGACAGGCAGAGAGUAGGUGCUCAAUGAACUAGAAACAUCGCCAUUGGGUUGUGAGCUGGGGAAUACAUUGCAUUACAUUAGAAUCUCUUAUCUACAGCAACUCAAAAUACUGGAGAACCAUAAGUGCACACCCUUCAGGCUGAAACCCUCCCUCCUUGUGUGGAUGCUAACGUUAAGUUUUAACGAAAUCUUGGAAAUGUACACACUGUGAACAACCACUCACCUGCCGGCAGUGAAGCAGCUUCCAUUGGCAGCACCAAAAGUGGAAAAAACCACAAACAAAGGGACGAUCCAAGACACAGGGUGCAGUACUCUAUCACCAAAAGUCUGAAGAAUACAAAAUGAGGUCCCUAGAAUGAAUGAGGUAUCACAUUUAAAAUAUACAAACCAAUGACCCCGGCUUUACAGCAGAGCAAGACCGUGACAGGGCAUGACACUACUACAUAAUAUCCUAUUUUUAACUGGCCAUGCUGGUGCAUAUUACAGACAGGCCUCUAAACUCUAUAGCAUAGUAUAUGAAACCAUUGCAUAAAAAAGUUUAUGCACAGGAUAUUUGAAUAUUGAAUGGGUUCCUACAGUCCAUGCCAGGACUUAAACAUAGUAAACCUUACCACAGCCACAGCUGGGGACUGCAGCAGUUCAGUGGGGGUCAUCACUGUGAAGUAAGCAAUGUUGACGAGGAUAUAGCUGACAGUCACCAGGGGAAUCCCAAUGAUGAUGGCUAAGGGUAGGUUUCUGCCAUGAAGACAACGAGAACAGUCUAAUUCAACAGCACAGAUCCUGGACGGUUUAUUCUCUUAUAAAAGUACAAUAUUAGACAUCAUAAUCCUACUGGCAACGUAGCACUUACCUGUAUGGGUUUUUAAGCUCCUCUGUGAUAAAGUUCAGUUGAUUCCUGAAAGACAGUUUCAUGAUUUUAACUAUGUUCCACACACCACAGCUGGUUUGUCAUUGAGACUUUUGGGUUUAUAUUUUCACACAAAAACACUGACCUUGUCUUUUUAACUUUUGUAAUAAACUGUAAGCACAUUAAUUUAUAGAUCACAGCUGUGUUUGAUGAUUUUGUAAGUUUCAAGUGGGAAAUCAUUAGCAAUUUACUUACCAUCCAUCAUAUGCCCAGAGCCCAUUGUAAAAUGCCAGCCCAAUGUCCCCAAAAGAAGUAGAUGCUCCCGCAAAUGUAUUUUUAAGGUUUUCUGUGUUUCCUGUAGGCAAAUAUUACAACAAUAUAGCAAAAUAUAGCAAAUAUUACACACCUCUACAGCAGAUUGACUCUGUACUAGUGAAGCAUACUAGACAGAUUUUUUUAUAACUUUUUUGUUUAGUAAACCAGUCAUAUUUAUUGCAGUGAUGAACUGUAAUAGUGAUGUUGUAAUGUAGAGUCUCAUGAACUUGAUUAAACUGAGGAAGAAAUUUUACUGUAUAUUUCUUGUAACCCCUUUUCAUUUGUUUUACUUCUUAAACAUUAAUUGUACAAGAUUCCUCUCAAUUAAAUAUUCAUCUUUUACUUGUG